ACAUAAAUCUCUACCCUUCAUUCUACUAUGGCAUUUUUGUAAAUAUUUGAUCCAUCCAAGGGUUAUCAUAAAUGGCAUUUUGGUAAAACUAGGAUUAGAUUUCCAAAAUUUGAAACGUAGAAACGCAGACAUUCUGUGAAACCCUAACCGUAUUCCCAUACCUCACCCUCCUUCUGUCUCCCUCUCUUCGAUCGCUCUCCUAGCUCCACUGAUUGGCGCGGCGAGCCACCACCGACCGGCGCGCGAUCAAGAGCAGCAUCACCUUCCUCGACACCUUCGAUUGCUACAGUCCAGACACCAAUGAAGUACUCCUCCGUAAGCUCUUAUUUUUCCGACUGCCUCUUCUACCACCAUGUAUUCAAGUAAGCCAAAAUAUUCCCAAACCGGAAAGAGCAAAUCCACCCACGCAUUAUUUUCGAGUUCAAUUGAUCUAAGAGUAAUGGGUUUUCAAAGGGAACGAAGGGUUGACAAAAGCGUCGGCGGUCAACAUCAGAACUUCAGGUUGGCAUUCCGCCGACAAAAGGGGAAGCGACUUUUUAACACACGUCUCCCCCAUCCUCCACCCACACCACCGCUCACCUUGCCCCUGAUCAAAGACAAAGAACCUCCCCUUGCAGCAGUAGGCCCGUCCACCGAUGACCACCAACAUCAUCCCAUCACCACCAUGGAGUGAUUCGGCCCCUCUUCUUUUCUGUCCUCCAUCUCCUCUAGUGAAAUCACGGCAACGAUAACAACCAGGGAUGUGGAGAUAUGGAAGGUUUCGAAUGGGGAAGGCAUGUAUGGGUAUAUUGGCUAUGAGGCUGCCCUUUUUGAUGGCACUUAAAAAAUGCUUUUUGAAAAACUGGUGAUUUUACAUUCCAAUAAUUGCAUAUUGUGGUUCAACGUGAAAUUGAGUACUUGCAAUGCUCCAAGGGUAAUCAAGAAGCUGUUGGCUUUGGUGGUGUGCUUAUGGAUGACAAAGGAGCAUGGAAUUCAGGAGUGCAUCCUCGGACAAGGAGAGACUCAAGUAGAAAUGGAGAUGGAUUUGCUGCAAGUAGUGAAUCUAACCAAAGAAAAUCCAGCUCCUCAUCGCCCUCAUAGGAAUCUGAUUGAGAAUUGUCAGAUUUGUAGUAAGAGCUCUAUGAAUCACACUCCACAAGAGGGGCAAAUUAAUUAAGUGACUGAUGUUCUGGAUUAUGUUGGCGAGACUCAAUGGUGGUGUUAAUAUGAAACACUCAAUUGUGAUUUCCAAAAGGGAAAUCUUCUUGCAGCUAACAUUGUAGCGGCUGAAUGUGAGAGGCAAUGCGGCCUUUAUGCGGUUCCUGUCAU